rnacentral:rRNA from 1 species
AGAGUUUGAUCCUGGCUCAGGAUGAACGCUGGCGGCGUGCCUAACACAUGCAAGUCGAGCGAAGCGCUUAAAUUGGAUUUCUUCGGAAUGACGAUUUUUGUGACUGAGCGGCGGACGGGGUGAGUAACGCGUGGGUUAACCUGCCUCAUACAGGGGGAUAACAGUUAGAAAUGACUGCUAAUACCGCAUAAGACCCCAGCUUCGCAUGAAGCGGUGGUAAAAACUCCGGUGGUAUGAGAUGGACCCGCGUCUGAUUAGGUAGUUGGUGGGGUAAAGGCCUACCAAGCCGACGAUCAGUAGCCGACCUGAGAGGGUGACCGGCCACAUUGGGACUGAGACACGGCCCAAACUCCUACGGGAGGCAGCAGUGGGGAAUAUUGCACAAUGGGGGAAACCCUGAUGCAGCGACGCCGCGUGAAGGAAGAAGUAUUUCGGUAUGUAAACUUCUAUCAGCAGGGAAGAAAAUGACGGUACCUGAGUAAGAAGCACCGGCUAAAUACGUGCCAGCAGCCGCGGUAAUACGUAUGGUGCAAGCGUUAUCCGGAUUUACUGGGUGUAAAGGGAGCGUAGACGGAUAGGCAAGUCUGGAGUGAAAACCCAGGGCUCAACCCUGGGACUGCAUUGGAAACUGUCAUACUUGAGUGCCGGAGGGGUAAGCGGAAUUCCUAGUGUAGCGGUGAAAUGCGUAGAUAUUAGGAGGAACACCAGUGGCGAAGGCGGCUUACUGGACGGUAACUGACGUUGAGGCUCGAAAGCGUGGGGAGCAAACAGGAUUAGAUACCCUGGUAGUCCACGCCGUAAACG